CUGACGGUAGUCGUAUGCUCGUCUCCGAGACUAAGCCAUGCAAGUCCAAGUACACGUCCUUGAACGACGGAAACUGCGAACGGCUCAUUAAAUCAGUUGCGAUCUACUCGGCGUUCCGCGCCGCCGGAUAACCGUAGUAAUUCUAGGGCUAAUACGUGCGAAGCGCCCGAAGCCGCGAGGCGACGGGCGUUCUCGCCGGAUGUAGGAACCGACCCGGGGACCGCCGGGGCAACCCGGCGCCCCCGAGACGGGGCGAACCACGGUGAAAUGACGGAUCGUCGGCCCCGCGCCGGCGACUCGCCGAAUGAGUUUCUGACCUAUCAACUCGAGACGGCGGGGUAGAGGCCCGCCGCGGUAACGACGGGUAACGGGGAUCAGGGUUCGAUUCCGGAGAGGGGAGCCCGAGAAACGGCUACCACUUCCAAGG
rnacentral:rRNA from 1 species